CUCCAGAUGUUGCUGAACUACAACUCCCAUGACUAUCUAUUUAAGUCAAAGAAUCAUGGGAGUUGUAGUUAAGCAACAUCUAGAG